GUUAGAUAGCCCCAGGUCCCAUCUGGGAUCCCUGAAGAUAGCGGGUCUAUUGGGUGUACAGAGCCCGAAAUACUAGCAUCUAAAAUCUGGGGCUCGAGGCUAUGUACAUCCCCGAAAUCAGUUCCACAACGUUGCUUGGUUUGAUCCGGUCAAUUCAAACUUCGGUCCCAAACCAAGCAACAGCCAAUCCGCUGAAAGACAUGAAACCAGUUUGCGCUAAUCAGCGCCCAGGUAGGGGAGAGGUUUUGCCGCCAAACCAGAAGUAAGGGCGUGAAACCUGAUUGCAC